CCUACGGGUGGCAGCAGUGGGGAAUAUUGCACAAUGGGGGAAACCCUGAUGCAGCAACGCCGCGUGAGUGAGGAAGUAUUUCGGUAUGUAAAGCUCUAUCAGCAGGGAAUAGAAACGCAGUUACCUGAAAACGAAGCACCGGCUAACUACGUGCCAGCAGCCGCGGUCAUACGGAGGGGGCAAGCGUUAUCCGGAUUUACUGGGUGUAAAGGGAGCGUAGACGGAAAGGCAAGUCAGAAGUGAAAACCCAAGGCUCAACCCUGGGGCUGCUUUCGAAACUGGCAAACUAGAGUCCGGGAGAGGCAAGAGGAAUUCCUAGUGUAGCGGUGAAAUGCGUAGAUAUUAGGAGGAACCCCAGUGGCGAAGGCGUCUUACUGGAGCGAAACUGACGUUGAGGCUCGAAAGCGUGGGGAGCAAACAGGAUUAGAUACCCUUGUAGUC
rnacentral:rRNA from 1 species